AACGAACGCUGGCGGCAUGCCUAACACAUGCAAGUCGAACGGAUUAGAGGGCUUGCUCCUCUAGUUAGUGGCGAACGGGUGAGUAAUGCAUCGGAACGUACCGUGUAGUGGGGGAUAACCCGGCGAAAGUCGGAUUAAUACCGCAUACGAUCUAAGGAUGAAAGCGGGGGAUCGCAAGACCUCGCGCUAUACGAGCGGCCGAUGUCGGAUUAGCUAGUUGGUAGGGUAAAGGCCUACCAAGGCAACGAUCCGUAGCGGGUCUGAGAGGAUGAUCCGCCACACUGGGACUGAGACACGGCCCAGACUCCUACGGAGGCAGCAGUGGGAAUUUUGGACAAUGGACGCAAGUCUGAUCCAGCCAUGCCGCGUGAGUGAAGAAGGCCU
rnacentral:rRNA from 1 species